rnacentral:lncRNA from 1 species
GAUAUCUUAGAACGGUCCCAUUUGGUCCCUGUUAGUUGGAAAGCAUCUGGUGGCUUGAAUUUCUGACUCAUGAUUGUUACUGGAGUCUCUGUAAACAAACCGGCACUAGCGCUAUCACAUUCUCUCCGGGAUUUCCCCCCCUGCUCUGUGGCUUCUUGUUGAGAGGUUGUUUGGUUAUGGUUUAGCGUUGAAAAGAUUCAGGUUAUCCUUUUAAAUGACUUUACGUUUUAGUGGAGCUGGGAGAUUACUUGCCUGGCUUCUAAUCUUCAUGUUGGUUCAUUUUAUUUCCAUAUGUGUGUGGGUUAUUUGUUCAGUAAUUAGAAUUAGAUAAAGUAUUCUGCUUUUAAGUAGUUUUGAGAAGGC